rnacentral:rRNA from 1 species
CUACGGGUGGCACCAGUGAGGAAUAUUGCACAAUGGGGGGAACCCUGAUGCAGCAACGCCGCGUGGAGGAUGACGCAUUUCGGUGUGUAAACUCCUUUUAUAUGUCAAGAAAAUGACGGUAGCAUAUGAAUAAGCACCGGCUAACUCCGUGCCAGCAGCCGCGGUAAUACGGAGGGUGCAAGCGUUACUCGGAAUCACUGGGCGUAAAGGACGCGUAGGCGGGUUGGAAAGUCAGGUGUGAAAUCCUACAGCUUAACUGUAGAACUGCACUUGAAACUUCUAAUCUAGAGUAUGGGAGGGGGAGAUGGAAUUAGUGGUGUAGGGGUAAUAUCCGUAGAUACCACUAGGAAUACCUAAAGCGAAGGCGAUCUCCUGGAACAUUACUGACGCUAAGGCGUGAAAGCGUGGGGAGCAAACAGGAUUAGAUACCCCAGUAGUC